GGGUUGUGAGGUUAAGCGACUAAGCGUACACGGUGGAUGCCCUGGCAGUCAGAGGCGAUGAAGGACGUGCUAAUCUGCGAUAAGCGUCGGUGAGGUGAUAUGAACCGUUAUAACCGGCGAUUUCCGAAUGGGGAAACCCAGUGUGUUUCGACACACUAUCAUUAACUGAAUCCAUAGGUUAAUGAGGCGAACCGGGGGAACUGAAACAUCUAAGUACCCCGAGGAAAAGAAAUCAACCGAGAUUCCCCCAGUAGCGGCGAGCGAACGGGGAGGAGCCCAGAGCCUGAAUCAGUGUGUGUGUUAGUGGAAGCGUCUGGAAAGGCGCGCGAUACAGGGUGACAGCCCCGUACACAAAAAUGCACAUGCUGUGAGCUCGAUGAGUAGGGCGGGACACGUGGUAUCCUGUCUGAAUAUGGGGGGACCAUCCUCCAAGGCUAAAUACUCCUGACUGACCGAUAGUGAACCAGUACCGUGAGGGAAAGGCGAAAAGAACCCCGGCGAGGGGAGUGAAAAAGAACCUGAAACCGUGUACGUACAAGCAGUGGGAGCCUCUUAAUGGGGUGACUGCGUACCUUUUGUAUAAUGGGUCAGCGACUUAUAUUCUGUAGCAAGGUUAACCGAAUAGGGGAGCCGAAGGGAAACCGAGUCUUAACUGGGCGUUAAGUUGCAGGGUAUAGACCCGAAACCCGGUGAUCUAGCCAUGGGCAGGUUGAAGGUUGGGUAACACUAACUGGAGGACCGAACCGACUAAUGUUGAAAAAUUAGCGGAUGACUUGUGGCUGGGGGUGAAAGGCCAAUCAAACCGGGAGAUAGCUGGUUCUCCCCGAAAGCUAUUUAGGUAGCGCCUCGUGAAUUCAUCUCCGGGGGUAGAGCACUGUUUCGGCAAGGGGGUCAUCCCGACUUACCAACCCGAUGCAAACUGCGAAUACCGGAGAAUGUUAUCACGGGAGACACACGGCGGGUGCUAACGUCCGUCGUGAAGAGGGAAACAACCCAGACCGCCAGCUAAGGUCCCAAAGUCAUGGUUAAGUGGGAAACGAUGUGGGAAGGCCCAGACAGCCAGGAUGUUGGCUUAGAAGCAGCCAUCAUUUAAAGAAAGCGUAAUAGCUCACUGGUCGAGUCGGCCUGCGCGGAAGAUGUAACGGGGCUAAACCAUGCACCGAAGCUGCGGCAGCGACACUAUGUGUUGUUGGGUAGGGGAGCGUUCUGUAAGCCUGUGAAGGUGGCCUGUGAGGGUUGCUGGAGGUAUCAGAAGUGCGAAUGCUGACAUAAGUAACGAUAAAGCGGGUGAAAAGCCCGCUCGCCGGAAGACCAAGGGUUCCUGUCCAACGUUAAUCGGGGCAGGGUGAGUCGACCCCUAAGGCGAGGCCGAAAGGCGUAGUCGAUGGGAAACAGGUUAAUAUUCCUGUACUUGGUGUUACUGCGAAGGGGGGACGGAGAAGGCUAUGUUGGCCGGGCGACGGUUGUCCCGGUUUAAGCGUGUAGGCUGGUUUUCCAGGCAAAUCCGGAAAACCAAGGCUGAGGCGUGAUGACGAGGCNNNNNNNNNNNNNNNNNNNNNNNNNNNNNNNNNNNNNNNNNNNNNNNNNNNNNNNNNNNNNNNNNNNNNNNNNNNNNNNNNNNNNNNNNNNNNNNNNNCACUACGGUGCUGAAGUGACAAAUGCCCUGCUUCCAGGAAAAGCCUCUAAGCAUCAGGUAACAUCAAAUCGUACCCCAAACCGACACAGGUGGUCAGGUAGAGAAUACCAAGGCGCUUGAGAGAACUCGGGUGAAGGAACUAGGCAAAAUGGUGCCGUAACUUCGGGAGAAGGCACGCUGAUAUGUAGGUGAAGCGACUUGCUCGUGGAGCUGAAAUCAGUCGAAGAUACCAGCUGGCUGCAACUGUUUAUUAAAAACACAGCACUGUGCAAACACGAAAGUGGACGUAUACGGUGUGACGCCUGCCCGGUGCCGGAAGGUUAAUUGAUGGGGUUAGCGGUAACGCGAAGCUCUUGAUCGAAGCCCCGGUAAACGGCGGCCGUAACUAUAACGGUCCUAAGGUAGCGAAAUUCCUUGUCGGGUAAGUUCCGACCUGCACGAAUGGCGUAAUGAUGGCCAGGCUGUCUCCACCCGAGACUCAGUGAAAUUGAACUCGCUGUGAAGAUGCAGUGUACCCGCGGCAAGACGGAAAGACCCCGUGAACCUUUACUAUAGCUUGACACUGAACAUUGAGCCUUGAUGUGUAGGAUAGGUGGGAGGCUUUGAAGUGUGGACGCCAGUCUGCAUGGAGCCGACCUUGAAAUACCACCCUUUAAUGUUUGAUGUUCUAACGUUGGCCCCUAAUCGGGGUUGCGGACAGUGUCUGGUGGGUAGUUUGACUGGGGCGGUCUCCUCCUAAAGAGUAACGGAGGAGCACGAAGGUUGGCUAAUCCUGGUCGGACAUCAGGAGGUUAGUGCAAUGGCAUAAGCCAGCUUGACUGCGAGCGUGACGGCGCGAGCAGGUGCGAAAGCAGGUCAUAGUGAUCCGGUGGUUCUGAAUGGAAGGGCCAUCGCUCAACGGAUAAAAGGUACUCCGGGGAUAACAGGCUGAUACCGCCCAAGAGUUCAUAUCGACGGCGGUGUUUGGCACCUCGAUGUCGGCUCAUCACAUCCUGGGGCUGAAGUAGGUCCCAAGGGUAUGGCUGUUCGCCAUUUAAAGUGGUACGCGAGCUGGGUUUAGAACGUCGUGAGACAGUUCGGUCCCUAUCUGCCGUGGGCGCUGGAGAACUGAGGGGGGCUGCUCCUAGUACGAGAGGACCGGAGUGGACGCAUCACUGGUGUUCGGGUUGUCAUGCCAAUGGCACUGCCCGGUAGCUAAAUGCGGAAGAGAUAAGUGCUGAAAGCAUCUAAGCACGAAACUUGCCCCGAGAUGAGUUCUCCCUGAGACUUAGAGUCUCCUGAAGGAACGUUGAAGACGACGACGUUGAUAGGCCGGGUGUGUAAGCGCAGCGAUGCGUUGAGCUAACCGGUACUAAUGAACCGUGAGGCUUAACCUUACAACGCCGAAG
rnacentral:rRNA from 1 species